CCCAAUCAGAAAUUCCUGAUACCCAUCUUAUCGACUCACCAUCAUUUCUCUUUUCUUUUUGACGGUUUCAGUUCUCAGGGAAGCUUAUCCUUUCAAAAAGUGUUCAUUUACUUUGCUUAAGGCUUUCCUCUCUUUAUCCUCUUCUCCGGUCAUGUUCAGUCUGGUUCAAGCACCCAAUCGAUUUCUUUUUGAUUUUCGGCAUACCCAGGGACAUUCUUUACCAGAGUCGACUUCGAUUAUGAUCGUCGGCCACUGCUUUUCGAUUCCUAUUUGGACUGCUUUUCGGCAUGCAAUCGCUUCAGCAGCAAAGGCGGAGGCCACCCCUUCAUGAAUUUUUGAGCAAGAUAAGAGAACUGUCCCGUCAUCAUUCCUGGCCAUGAUACCCGGAGUCGAUUGGUAAUGUCGCCCAUCAUACGCACCGUCAAAAUUGAUUUUAACGAACUCACUAGAAUUUCUUUCUCCCUAGAUGGCCCAAAGUGCACAACAAAAAAAACUGCAUUGACGAGGGGUAUACUAAUAACAAACCCAGGUAAUCCACUGUAAAAAAUCCAUAUUAGUAUCCAUGAGGAUAUUCUGGAUUGAUAAUGUUGUCCAAACUUCAACUGAAACUGGGCAUUCGCGAAAUAUAUGAUCGAUUGUUUCAGCUUUUCCUC